GCGGGCGUGGCGGAAUUGGCAGACGCGCUGGAUUUAGGUUCCAGUGUCCACGGACGUGGGGGUUCAAGUCCCCCCGCCCGCACCA
rnacentral:tRNA from 1 species